AGAAUCAACGCUGGCGGCGUGCCUAACACAUGCAAGUCGCACGAGAAAGGGACUUCGGUCCUGAGUACAGUGGCGCACGGGUGAGUAACACGUGAAUAAUCUACCUCCGAGUGGGGAAUAACUGAGAGAAAUCUUAGCUAAUACCGCAUAACACUUACGAGUCAAAGCAGCAAUGCGCUUGGAGAGGAGUUCGCGGCAGAUUAGUUAGUUGGCGGGGUAAUGGCCCACCAAGACGAUGAUCUGUAUCCGGCCUGAGAGGGCGCACGGACACACUGGAACUGAAACACGGUCCAGACUCCUACGGGAGGCAGCAGUGGGGAAUUUUGCGCAAUGAGGGAAACCCUGACGCAGCAACGCCGCGUGGAGGAUGAAAUCCCUUGGGAUGUAAACUCCUUUCGAUAGGGAAGAUAAUGACGGUACCUAUAGAAGAAGCCCGGCUAACGUUCGUGCCAGCAGCCGC
rnacentral:rRNA from 1 species